GCUUCUACUGAGCCGUGGAAUCGGCCAUUACUUCAAUAUUUCUCCCGCGAACAAAUACCUUCAAUCAACGAUGAGGAAACAAAAGAGUCUGCAAAAAUUGGGAUCGAAUGAAAUGGGACACUCGGUAUAUGAUCACGGUGGAGGUCCCGAAAGAAAGAGAGAGAGAGAGGAAAUAGUGAAGGAAAAAUUAGCGAGUCCUACGCUGGUGGGCUGUUUUGGGCGGACGACGGCUGUGCACAAAAACGGCGGCAGUCAAGUUCAAGGCCACCACCCCCUCCAGCAGGUCCAUGGCCGCCACCGACUACCCCCACCACCGACCACCACGUAUCCUCACGGUCUAUGUUUGUAUGAUGUCUGGCAAUACUACUGAAGGUAUGAUAUGCUACAACAGAACCAUGCCAAACAUUAAACAAGAAGUCGACAACCCCGCGACGCCUACGCAAAACUAUCAAGUUUGUUCACCGACCACUACGCUGCAAAAUCAGGAGGUAAUUUGCACAAAAAUGGACGUGCCGCCUGAUUAUGGCGGCGGUGGUGGUGGUGGUAGCACUGGUAACGGAAAUGGUGGGGGUGGUAGCGGAAGUCCAGGUAGCCCAGAGAUGCAUCACUGUUCUUCGACGACUCAACCUUUAGGAACUCCUGAGGAAGGCAUUAAAGAGGAAGACAUGAUGCCGAGGAGACUGUGUCUUGUUUGUGGAGACAUAGCAAGUGGAUUCCAUUACGGUGUUGCAUCUUGUGAGGCGUGCAAAGCUUUCUUUAAAAGGACCAUACAAGCGAGUAACUUUACAGGAAACAUUGAAUAUACUUGCCCGGCAAACGGAGAGUGUGAGAUAAAUAAACGUAGAAGAAAAGCUUGUCAAGCGUGCAGAUUUCAAAAGUGUCUUCGUCAGGGAAUGUUAAAGGAGGGUGUUAGAUUGGAUCGGGUUAGAGGUGGCAGGCAAAAAUACAGAAGGUCUACAGAUCCUUACAUCCCUGUGAAAACGGCAACACUGGAAGCGAGCGUAGCAUCCGGAGGAUCUGGAGAACAAAUAAAUAACAAGAUGGUCGAAGCUCUAGCUGCGUGCGAGCCCGAUAUUUUACAAGUAUCCAAUCUUUCUCAUACAUUGGAUACAGAUCAGAGGAUAUUGGGCCAAAUGGCGGAUCUUUAUGAUCGCGAAUUAGUCGGAACUAUCGGUUGGGCUAAGCAGAUACCAGGAUUCAGCAGUUUAGCUUUAAACGAUCAAAUGCGGCUUCUACAAAGUACAUGGGCGGAAAUCCUCACUUUCAGUUUAGCAUGGAGAAGUGUGCCUAAUAAUGGCAGAUUGUGGUUCGCUCAAGAUUUCAGCUUGGAUGAACGUCAGGCACGUGAAUGCCAUUGUAUAGAAUUAUAUACGCAUUGUAUCCAGAUCGUAGAAAGGAUUCAACGAUUGGGUUUGAUCAAAGAAGAAUACUAUGUACUGAAGGCAUUGAUUCUGGCGAAUAGCGACGCGAGAUCAGACGAACCUCAAGCGCUAUAUCGCUUUCGUGACGCAAUAUUAAAUUCCCUUUCGGACUGUGUAGCAGCUGUUAGGCCAGGACAGGCAUUACGUGCUACGCAAAACAUGUUCCUAAUACUGCCCAGUCUUAGGCAGGCCGAUGGAAUUGUAAGGAAAUUUUGGUCGAGUGUUUGUAGAACGGGCAAAGUGCCGAUGAACAAGCUUUUUGUAGAGAUGUUGGAAGCUGCCUAUUAUCGAUGAAACAACUAGAACCUGGUCGAAUCUUAUCAUUUAAAGAAAAACUUUUCUUCAAAGUUAUCAUUGAUUGUCGAUUAAGAAAAUAAUUACCAUUGUGCGGAAAUAACAGAGGUGUUAAACUUGCCUUUUCGAAACUAACGAGAAUGACAGUGAAGCGUGGAGUGAUUUCGACCAGUGUUUCCCAACGAUCAUCGAACCUUGCGUAUAGUAUUGAAAUACCAUACGCUUUCUUUGUUUAAAGUAACCAAACUUUCCUUUUCAAGUACCCCUUUUACAGGUAUAGGGAAAGGAAUGUGAUUUUCAGCAUAAAAAACGCGGAAAAUAAAAUGCGAAAAGCCUACGUUUAGAAGUAUCAUUAAAUAGGAUAGUAUAUAGUCUGUUGAUCGACAGAUCGCACUACCAAAUAAAUAUGUUUUUGUUUAUACAAUUGAUCAUUAUGAUCGUGACAUCGAGUCCAAUGAUCGUACAAGUCAGAUCGAAGUUUAUUAAUUGUGGUGUUUGAUAAACUGUGGGUGUUUGAUGUUACAUAUUCGCAAUAGAGACAGUUUGCUAAUCAUCUCAUGUUUGUAUCAAUCUGGAUCCAUAUGCAUCAUUUCUGGCAGUUAGUUAAUUUAGCAAAGAAGUACGUAUAGAAAAACGUAAGUAACGUUGAUAAUUUAAAAGAAAAGAAAAGUGAAAAAAAUUACAAAAUGACAAAAAAAAAGAGAA
rnacentral:misc_RNA from 1 species